CUAUAUUAGGAAUUUUGUGAGUGUCCUUCUUAUUGAAGACGGAUCCUAAGUACCUGUUCAACUGAUCUGCCAUUUCCUUGUUCCCCAUAAUAAAUUCAACUUUUUCAGUCUUCAAGGGUCCAACUUUGGUCUUUACCAAUGUUUUCCUCUUUACAUACCUAAAGAAGCUUUUACUAUUCUCUUUUAUAUUCUUGUCUAGCUUACUUUCGGACCUCAUCUUUUGUCCCUGUAUUGUCUUUUUAGUUAUCUUCUGUUGCUCCUUAAACAUUACCCAAUCCUCUUGCUUCCCGCUCAUCUUUGUUAUGUUGUACUUCUUAUCUUUUACAUUUAAAUUGUCCCUGACGUCUCUUGUCAGCCACGGUCGCCCCUUACUCCCCUUGGAAACUUUCUUCGUAUUUGGAAAGAAUUGAUCCUAAACCUUCUGUAUUAUUCCCAGAAAUACCUACCAUUGUUGUUCCACUGUCAUCCCUGCUAGGAUAUCUUUCCAGUCAACUUUGGCCAGC